rnacentral:rRNA from 1 species
UCGCCACGGUAACACGUAGGGUGCAAGCGUUAAUCGGAAUUACUGGGCGUAAAGCGUGCGCAGGCGGUGUUGUAAGACUGAUGUGAAAUCCCCGGGCUCAACCUGGGAACUGCAUUGGUGACUGCAACGCUGGAGUGCGGCAGAGGGGGAUGGAAUUCCGCGUGUAGCAGUGAAAUGCGUAGAUAUGCGGAGGAACACCGAUGGCGAAGGCAAUCCCCUGGGCCUGUACUGACGCUCAUGUACGAAAGCGUGGGGAGCAAACAGGAUUAGAUACCCCAGUAGUCCCUGUCUCUUAUACACA